GAUGAACGCUGGCGGCGUGCCUAAUACAUGCAAGUCGAGCGAACAGACGAGGAGCUUGCUCCUCUGACGUUAGCGGCGGACGGGUGAGUAACACGUGGAUAACCUACCUAUAAGACUGGGAUAACUUCGGGAAACCGGAGCUAAUACCGGAUAAUAUAUUGAACCGCAUGGUUCAAUAGUGAAAGACGGUUUUGCUGUCACUUAUAGAUGGAUCCGCGCCGCAUUAGCUAGUUGGUAAGGUAACGGCUUACCAAGGCAACGAUGCGUAGCCGACCUGAGAGGGUGAGAGGCCACACUGGAACUGGGACACGGUCCAGACUCCUACGGGAGGCAGCAGUAGGGAAUCUUCCGCAAUGGGCGAAAGCUUGACGGAGCAACGCCGCGUGAGUGAUGAAGGUCUUCGGAUCGUAAAACUCUGUUAGUAGGGAAGAACAAAUGUGUAAGUAACUAGGCACGUCAUGACGGUACCUAAUCAGAAAGCCACGGCUAACUACGUG
rnacentral:rRNA from 1 species